rnacentral:rRNA from 1 species
UAUGGUUGUACCCCCUUGAACACACCCAAUCCUUUCUGAUUUAGGAAAUCAAGCAGAGUUGUACCUGAUCAGUAUUUGGAUAGGAGACCACCACAGCAUACCACCACCUCCAUGG